UACGUAGGGGGCAAGCGUUAUCCGGAUUUACUGGGUGUAAAGGGAGCGUAGACGGCGCGGCAAGUCUGAAGUGAAAGGCAGGGGCUUAACCCCUGAACUGCUUUGGAAACUGCCAUGCUAGAGUGCUGGAGAGGUAAGUGGAAUUCCUAGUGUAGCGGUGAAAUGCGUAGAGAUUAGGAAGAACACCAGUGGCGAAGGCGACUUACUGGACUGUAACUGACGCUGAGGCAUGAGAGCAUGGGGAGCAAACAGG
rnacentral:rRNA from 1 species